AUGAAAAGUAUCAGUCCAUCAGGAUUGGAAAUUAGAAAAAAACACCAAACCGGUCCGUCGUCACGGAGAGUUUGGGAAGCACCGAUCUGGAGGGGUGCAACGAGAGACACGUUCUCAGCGUUCCCUAAGCCCCCUGGAAGUGACUCAUCCUCUGAAAAGACAGGAGCUACAAAUCCGCUUCCAUAUGGUGCUGUGGAAGUGGUGCAGCUUAGAGCAGAAACAUACAGAGGCCAGGGUGAGAGGGCGUUGGGCAGAGACUGGAUUCUGGUCCAGAAGGGAGUUGUAGCUGGUGGUCUCCAGCUGAUGAUGAAGUGCAGCAGAUAGUUGAGGAAAUGCAGUUAAAGACUCCUGCUCAGUGGGUAAAGGUUUACCAGCUGGCUUUGGAGGGGCGGGAGGGAAAGCCCAGGUUUGCAGCAUGUGGACUCCCAUGUUAUAAAUACUUCCACUAUGGAUGUCUUCGAGGGACCAGCGUGGGGUCCAGGAUGGAUGCCUUCAAGGGGCCAGUGUGGGGUCCAGGAUGGAUGCCUUCAAGGUGCCAGUGUGGGGUUCACCAUGGAUGCCUUCAAGGGGCCAGUGUGGGGUCCAGGAGUCAGAGAGGCUAACAUCUGGAUUUUGUGAGCUGGCAUAAGCCAACUCCAGCACAUCCCUGAGAGUCAUGCUAAGCAUUUGGGCAGCCGCUGAGAGAGAGAGAGAAAUACAAGAGUGUCUCAGUGUCCACACAGAACAUCGUGGCUCAGACAGGACUUACGAUGAGCUAUAACAGGACAGCGAGGAAAGUUGCUGGGACUGGGCAAGGCCAAGGAUGCUUCUCUCAGCCCUGGGCCACCAACCGAUGAAGGAAUUUUCUGUGGUGCCUUCGUGAUGUAAGGUUGGACAUUAACUGCAGAAAUGCACCUUUGUGGCUUAAUUUACACACGUGUUCGUGUUUGUUGUUUUUCUAAAUUGCAUGUGCUUUUUACUUGAAGUUACUUUCAGUAAUCACUUAAACAGUAAAAGUUCAGUAAAGGAUAGUAAUACUUUGCAGAGUUUGGGAGUUCCCAGAGCAGUCUCCGUUUCGAUCGUGCACUAGAAGGACUCACAGAACUCACCCUGAGAGCUGUUGUACUCACGGUUUUGGUUUACUACAGUGACAGCGUGGAGAUUAAGAUCAGCCAAGGAAGAGGGGCGGGGCAGUGUCCAGGAGACGCCCCCACAUGGGGCCUCCAGGUGUCCCCUCCCCGUGGAACUGCGGACAGCACCUUCUCCCGGCAAUGAUGUUGACGGUACACGUGGAGUUUUGCCAACCAGGGAAGCUCCCCAAGCCUCGGUGUCCAGAGGUUUAUUGGGAUUUAGUCAUGCCAACAUGGCUGGCCUUCCACCUGGCUGACCUUUAGCCCCUAGUUGCUCCUGAAGUUGAGUGAUACCGCAUGGCCCACAGUCCCCACCAUAAAUCACAUUGUAGACUAUUGGUGUGACCCACAGCCCAGGUAAACAGAGAUGCUCUUAUCAGGCAGGGGUUAGAGAUGACCUCGCCGGAGCCGAGGGAAAAGGCCAGACCUCUCUUUGGCUCGGGGUCGUUCUUCACUACACGUACUUUGAAGUGUUAUGACAGAAAUAUUUCUGACCUUCAGAGACACUGUUGAGCACCCAGGCACCCUGCUGAGGCUCGGAGCGAAAAGAACAGAGAGGCAGCAGCCUUCACAAGAUGCUGCCCAGCAAGGUUGCUUUCUGCGUUUCCAUCAAGAAUGUGCGAUGUGGUUCCUUAAAUGCAUGCACAGAUGAGACAAAUCUGUCACAGUGCCUGAUGUGUCCAUAGCUCUUGAGGAAAUGGCCACCAUCCCCAGGCCCUGGGGUUCAGCAGCUAGGAUAUGAGUCACAGAUCCUGCGGCCAAGACUGAUUUAGAAAUGGGCCCCUGUGUCAAUGACAGUCCAUUCGCAGGCUGGCCUCCGGUCUGUGACCUGAUCUGAUGCCAAAGGCUCCACCCAAAUAUUGUUAAUUGGUGGUUAUUAGCUGAACCCAGCAGAAGCCCUCUCGCAAUAAUUAUAUUAAAAAGCACAGACAGUCCAAGCCAGGAGGAAGUGAGGAAAGUGGGUCAGAAUACAGAGGAGCUGGAUUCUAUUAAUAGAGAGUGGAGCCCCAGGGGCCCUCUUUGUGGGCUCUUGGAGCUGCCUUGGAUGCCUAACACAGCCGUAAAAGCUGGCCCUCUUCUGAUUUGUAAAAAUUUCUGUGAUAUGCAAUCUCUUUAUUGCCUCUCACACAUGCUCACAAGGGGCCCUCCUCACUGGAUCUACUUGAGCGGCGCUGUGGCUUGUGUUCAACACGGGCCGAUUGAACCAAUCAUCAAAGGUCAGUGCUGGGUCAGUCAAGGGCACAGGCGCUUACAGCAUCCUCAUUUUGAAUGAAAAUGUUGCAGGUUUUUCAAAAUAAAGGUAAUGCCAAUCAUUAAUGCUCUCUCCUU
rnacentral:lncRNA from 1 species